CUUCUGCUCCCGCGGCUGUCCGUCAGGCGGGAGGCGGAAGCGCCGCGGGGGCGGGAAGGUUGUAGGGCUACCCCGUGCGCUCCAUUUGCCGGUCUCUAAGUGGUCGCGCCCCUUUUGGGAGCGCGCUCACACGGCGAGGUCGUCCCGGGCGCUCUCGCGUCCCCGGUAAGUAGGACAACCUGGAGGCUCGGGGGAUGAAGACGUGUGUGGCCCUGGCGCCGACCUGCUGCCUCCGUCUUUGUUGCGGUCGAGUUGCUACGGAACUUAGUGGAGACAGAAAAUAGGAGGAUGGCAGCAAACCCAUCAGGUCAAGGUUUUCAAAACAAAAAUAGAGUUGCAAUCUUGGCAGAAUUGGACAAAGAGAAAAGAAAAUUACUAAUGCAGAACCAAUCUUCCACAAAUCAUCCUGGAGCUAGCAUCUCGCUCUCGAGGCCCGCGCUGAAUAAGGACUUCCGUGACCACGCAGAGCAGCAGCACAUCGCGGCCCAGCAGAAGGCCGCGCUGCAGCAUGCUCACGCACACUCAUCUGGAUACUUCAUCACUCAAGACUCUGCAUUUGGGAAUCUUAUUCUUCCUGUAUUACCUCGCCUGGACCCAGAAUGAAGAAAAUAAUUUGUAACGAAAAUGACUUUGUAACAUCAGAUGCCAAAGCUACUAUCACUCAGUGCUAUCCGAACUGUGACUUUCAGAAUUUUGGUGGACUUCUCUGUUUUUUGCUUUGUUAAAAGAAAGAGAGCUUCUUCCUCCCCCUUCUCCAGUAGAGACCUGUACCAACCACACAGCCGCCUCUUCUCCAAACUCACUGCAGCGGGAGACGGUCCCAGACAGGGCUGUGUGUAGUGUCUCCCUCUUGAGAAUUCAACUGCUUUUCAUUUCAGUGAGGGCAGCUGCCCCCCACUGGACCGGCUACUUUCCAGCCCGUGCCCCUCCUUCCUCUGGGCCUCGGAUUCCUCUGCCACCUGCAGGACCAUCCGGCUCUUCUCUGGCCCAAGUGUCUCACUGUGUGAUCUGUGCCCGCCCGGCUCUGAAUCUGCCGAUAGAAGGGAGAUCAGAGGUAUUUGGACUUACAGUUCUGAUACUUCGAAGGCUACCGAAUACCUGUCUUCUGUCACUCAGGGAGAGAGUUUCAGUGGUAGCUUUGCUGGCAUCAGCCUUGUAAGCAAGAUGCUGCCUGAAUCCUGCCGUUCUGGCUGCAGUGCUUCCCCGACCCCCCUGUGAGUCAUGGAGAACUGCCAUUAAGCGCCUGAUGUGCUUGUAAGCGCCACUGUAAAGCGCCAGGCUGAGCUGGUGAGGAGCCGGAAGCCGGGAUGUGUGAGCGCCCAGGAGCAGCUGCCGGACUACGGGGUGGUCUCCAGGGGUCUCCAUGGACCUGAGCCAUGCUGUGGUGUUGCCUGGCCGGUGAGGGCAGAGCUGCUCCAGGAACAGGUCAAGAGUUCAUCUGCAAAGCAAAGCAGAGACGAAGAUGGCUGUGACGCCAAUGAUGGAGGAGACGUGGUCCGUGAGAAGCCCAGAUGGGAAGUUUGAACGUGGCCUCCCUCGAGUUUGGGGUGAACUGGGGUCACUUCCUCCACCUGUCUUGACAUUUGACAUGUUCCCUUGUCUAGUCCGGUCCUCUUUAAGUGCAGGUGUCAACCCAAGACUGAGUUGAGACACCAUCUCUGUGGCAUCGUGGGCUGAGACCAGCAUUAUAUUUUGGAAAACUAAAAAUCUGCAGAGGGCAUCCUACGUAGUCAUGUGAGGUUUUGGUUUCAAGAAUCUUCAAUUUGGUUUGUGUGCAUCUGCCUUUGUUUACUGUGAGUUCCAACCAGUCUGUGAAGUCUUUGAGAGCAAGGACUUGUGUUUCCCUCCCUUUCCGCCCUCUGUUCAUUCACUGCUGUAUUCCACGCAAAAUGGCAUUUGGCAUAUAGUAGGUGGUGAAGAUCUACUUAAUAUGAUCUGGGUCAUGAUGUAUAAUUUUUAUUGUGAAAAGGAUUUUGAAAGCCACUGCUAAAUAACACAGAUGAUAGUGCUUUGUAUGAUUCUGAAUAAAAACAAAAUGAUUCAACUUCAAGAAUAGUUUUAUUUCCC